GGUUCGGUUACGGUUUUUUUCGGUUUUUGUCGGUUACGGUUUUUUUCGGUUUGGUUUUUCGGUUUUUCGGCUCGGUUUCGGUUUUUCGGUUUUUUUUGCUCACCCCUACUAGAAAUUGUUUCGCAAGCAUUAGUAAGUAAUGCUUGCUAAUAAUCUCAUACUAUAUCUUGUUGCUUACUUGAACUUCUUUCUCUUAAAGUAUCAGAGGUUGCAUCAUUGACAAGGAAUUUUGACGUCUCAAGCACAUCACCAUAUAGACCCUGAACCUCGUUGCAAUGGACUCCAUUUUAUUGGAUGAUAAGAGCGCAAGACUAUAUUUGGACAGAAGACUGCAGGAAAAUGAUGUAAAAGGGGCCAUUGAUUUUGCUAUUAAGGAGCAGAAUAUAUUUCCAAAGCUCCACGGACUUUUACGCUUUCUAGGUAACAUUACUGUGCAAGUCUCCCCUGCAGAUGAGGAAAUAGACCGGUAUAGUGUCCUAGGCGUUGAUAGUUCAGCAGAUAUAAAGACAAUGAAGCAGCAGUACGUGAAACUGGCUAAAGAUAACAAGCUGAUCAGGUCGCAGGAAGUACAUAAGCUUCUUAAUAAAGCGUGGCAUACCUUGUCAAAAAAAUUCACCAGAAGAGAUUACGAUAUGAGGAGAAUAUAGAGAAAAAUCCAACAGGAUGCCUUUGUUGUGAAGCAGGCAAUUGCUCAUCUACACAGCUACUUCAGCCAGCACCUGUUCUCCAUGAUUUUUCUGAAAAUAAAAGUAGUGGUCUAAAGCAAGUUUCUUCAGCACAGGCAGUUGAGAUGGCACCUGAUCUAUACAAUGUCCCCGAAAAUGAUGGAAUACACUUGACAUCAGUUCCUGCAGUCACUAAUUCAACACAACCGACACCUGAUGUCUACAAUGUAUCAGGAAAUAAAGAACCUGGCCUGAGCUCAGUUAGCACCGAUACAGCAUUAAUUCAGCCAGCUUUAGGUAUGUGCAGUAUAUCGGGAAAAAAGAGAAGUGGCUUAACCAUGAUUCCCUCUGAUACACACUUGAUUCUGCCACAGCAAGUUCAGUCCAAUAUACCGGGAAAUGGAGGAAGUGGCCCAAAUUUAGUUCUCUGUGCUACACAAUCAAUUCAUCAAAGGCCUGGCAUGUACAAUGUAUCUGGAAAUGAAGGAAUUGGCCCCAGGUUGGUUUUCUCAUCUGAAGAAUCAUUUCAGCCAGGGUCUGGUAUGGUCAAUGUUGCAGGAAAUAGCAGAAGUGGUCCAGGGUCAAUUUCUUCAUUUCUGUCCUAGCUGUCAUGACAUGUUUACUUACUGCAGAUGAAGCUUUAUGACCAUAGAAUGGUUCAGAGAGGGGAAGUACUCUCAUACGAAGGAAAUAUCGGUGUACAUGGCCACUUGCAGCAUGCAGUACCCUUCAGAAAUAUUUGUCAUGUCUGGUGGGACAGAUCUGGGGAACUUUUAUUUAAGGAGAGGUUUAUGGAUUGUAUCCCCUCAGAAUUUUGCUGGGGAAUGAAAGAAGACAACGGGGAAAAAGUAGGCAGCAUAUAUAACCAACACUCUAACUUUGGCGAAGCCUGGAUUGGAGGACUUGAUGGUAUUUAUCAUAUGAGGUGGUGAUAUACUUCAUUGUAUCAAUGAAAGCUUAAUGGGAGAUGCAUCUGAUCAUUGGCCAUCUUGACAUGCUGCAGUUGAAGUCCUUAUAGAAGUUUUAUGUUGCUUUUGCAAUUCUCCUUCUCCAUAUCAUUUUAUCGUUAAUUAACAAACUGUUCAUGACCAGAAUAUCAUUAUGUGUAUUCCCCACCACAAGAGAAUUCAAACGGGAACACCAAAAUAGCAGUUAGUAUACUCUUUAAUAGGGGUGUUCCAGAGGGAUCCAUGCCCUCCCAUAUGAGAAGUUAGUAUACUCUUUAAUAGUCUUUGUUUGUGUAGAACAGUUGACAAGAAGAUGUUGUAUUUUGGUAGCAGACAAUCCUCUCACUUUGUGAAUGCCAUUUAUGAAUACUUUUUUAA